UUUCCGUAGGUGAACCUGCGGGAGGAUCAUUACUGAGUGAGGCCCCCCCGGGGUCCAACCUCCCACCCGUGUUUAACGAACCUUGUUGCUUCGGCCGGCCCGCCUCCCGGCCGCCCGCGGGCGAUUCCCCCCCGGCCCGCCCCCGCACAAUCCACCUGUUAACGCUGUCUGCAGUAUGCAGUCUGAGACAACUAAACAAUUAAUUAAAACUUUCAUCAACGCAUCUCUUGUUUCCGGCAUCGCAGAAGAACACAGCAGACCUGAAGAGCACACGUCUGG
rnacentral:misc_RNA from 1 species